rnacentral:tRNA from 1 species
GCCUGGGUGGCUCAGUCGGUUGAGCGUCCGACUUCGGCUCAGGUCAUGAUCUCAUGGUUCGUGGGUUCGAGCCCCGCAUCAGGCU